rnacentral:rRNA from 1 species
GACGAACGCUGGCGGCGUGCUUAACACAUGCAAGUCGAACGGAAAGGCCCUGCUUUUGUGGGGUGCUCGAGUGGCGAACGGGUGAGUAACACGUGAGUAACCUGCCCUUGACUUUGGGAUAACUUCAGGAAACUGGGGCUAAUACCGGAUAGGAGCUCCUGCUGCAUGGUGGGGGUUGGAAAGUUUCGGCGGUUGGGGAUGGACUUGCGGCUUAUCAGCUUGUUGGUGGGGUAGUGGCUUACCAAGGUUUUGACGGGUAGCCGGCCUGAGAGGGUGACCGGCCACAUUGGGACUAAGAUACGGCCCAGACUCCUACGGGAGGCAACGGUGGGGAAUAUUGCACAAUGGGCGGAGGCCUGAUGCAGCAACGCCGCGUGCGGGAUGACGGACUUCGGGUUGUAAACCGCUUUCGCCUGUGACGAAGCGUGAGUGACGGUAAUGGAUAAAGGAGCACCGGCUAACUACGUG